CUGAAGGCAGCAGGCGCAGCGGCGCUCGUUGCGUGGCUGC
rnacentral:SRP_RNA from 1 species